GGAGUCGGCCGGACAACCGCGGUGUUGAUGUCUGUCCAUUGGCCAUUUGGCGUGGAUGGUGCUCCAUCGAGGAAAGUCCGGGCUCCGUAGGGCAGGGUGCCAGAUAACGUCUGGACGGCGUGAGCCGAUGGAAAGUGCCACAGAAAAUACACCGCCGGACUUGGCCUUGGCCAGUUGGGUAAGGGUGAAAAGGUGCGGUAAGAGCGCACCGCGAUUCCGGUAACGGGAUUGGCAGGGCAAACCCCACUCGGAGCAAGACCAAAUAGGAACCCAUCGGUGCGGCCCGUACCGGGUUCGGGUAGGUCGCUUGAGGCGCUCGGUGACGUGCGCUCUAGAUGAAUGGUUGUCCGAGACAGAACCCGGCUUAUAGGCCGACUCCGCUU
rnacentral:RNase_P_RNA from 1 species